UUCUCUGUGCCAACGAGGCAUUCAGGUAGAUGUGUUACGUGAAGAAGAAUUGAGGAAGCUCAACAAAUCAUCCAACACCAAAUUUGAGAGCAAUCUAAUGGUUUCAAAAGGCUGUUCUCAAAAUAUAUGGUUAGUGGGAGAUGAUGUUACCAACGAAGAACAACUGAAGGCAC